AGUGAACGCUGGCGGCAUGCCUAACACAUGCAAGUCGAACGGCAAGACAAGGGAGUUUGCUCUCUGGCUGGCGAGGGGCGGACGGGUGAGACAUGCAUCGGAAUCUCCUAAUUUGUGGGGAAUAACCUCGGGAAACCGCGACUAAUACCGCAUACGUCCUACGGCGGAAAGCAGGGUAUCUACGGACCGUGUUCAGAUGGAUGAUCCGUUGCCGGAUUAGCUAGUUGGAGGGGUAAAGGCACACCAAGGCGACGAUCCGUAGCUGGUCUGAGAGGAUGAUCAGCCACACUGGGACUGAGACACGGCCCAGACUCCUACGGGAGGCAGCAGUGGGGAAUAUUGGACAAUGGGCGAAAGCCUGAUCCAGCCAUGCCGCGUGUGUGAAGAAGGCCUUCGGGUUGUAAAGCACUGUUGUUGGGAAAGAAAAGCAGCCGGUUAAUACCCGGUUGUCAUGACGGUACCCAAAGAAUAAGCACCGGCUAACUUCGUG
rnacentral:rRNA from 1 species